CAGGUGUCUUGAAUAAUGGCUGAGAAUGAAGGAAAUAGAGACCAACCCUUCUUCCUCUGCUGUGUAGGUGGGUUUUGCUCUGAGCUGGCUUUGAAUGGGGCCCUGGUCUGGACAAUUCCACAUCGUUGUUCUCAUCCUGCCGUGGGCAUGAGAGCCCUCUGCUGUGUGGCCCUUUGUCUCCUGCGAAUAGAGCCCACAGAUGCGGGAGUCAUCCAGACACCCAGGCAUGAGGUGACAGAAAUGGGACAUGCAGUAACUCUGAGUUGUGAGCCGAUUUCAGGCCACACUGCGCUUUAUUGGUACAGACAGACCUUGGUGCAGGGAUUGGAGUUUCUGAUUUACUUCAUCAACCAAGCUCCUACAGACGAGUCAGGGAUGCCCAAGGACCGAUUCUCAGCUAAGAUGCCUAACGCAUCAUUCUCCACUCUGAAGAUCCAGCCCACAGAACCCGGGGACUCGGCCACGUACCUCUGUGCCAGCAGCAAAGACACAGUGCUGCAGAGUCACCCCACCCCAUGCAGAAAACCUCUGCUUCCGCUUCGGGCUCCAGCCCCCAGCCAUCCUGAGUCCUGAGUAAAAGCUCCUCCC